UUUUGUGGGGUGCUCGAGUGGCGAACGGGUGAGUAACACGUGAGUAACCUGCCCUUGACUUUGGGAUAACUUCAGGAAACUGGGGCUAAUACCGGAUAGGAGCUCCUGCUGCAUGGUGGGGGUUGGAAAGUUUCGGCGGUUGGGGAUGGACUCGCGGCUUAUCAGCUUGUUGGUGGGGUAGUGGCUUACCAAGGCUUUGACGGGUAGCCGGCCUGAGAGGGUGAACGGCCACAUUGGAACUGAGAAACGGUCCAA
rnacentral:rRNA from 1 species